rnacentral:rRNA from 1 species
GCAAGUAUGGUAAGGGCGGACGGUGGAUCCCUAGGCAGCCGGAGGCGAUGAAGGGCGUGGCCAGCUGCGAUAAGCCCCGGGGAGCCGCUGAGCAGGCGAUGAUCCGGGGAUUCCCGAAUGGGGAAACCCACCGUGCCGUUGAGGCACGGUAUCCAGGGCCGAAAUCCGAGUAAGCCCUGGAGGCGAACCCCGCGAAGUGAAACAUCUCAGUAGCGGGAGGAAAAGAAAUCAACCGAGAUUCCCCUAGUAGCGGCGAGCGAACGGGGAAGAGCCCAAACCUCACGGGCGCAAAAGCCCGCAGGCAUUGUCCGUGGGGGGUAGCGGGACGGCAACGGGGAGGGCUGCGGACCUCCCAGGAAGUUACAAAAGCCUCCUCUAGCCGAACAGCCGGCAAAGUCACUGGAAAGGGCGACCGGAGAGGGUGAUAGUCCCGUAGGCGAAAGGGGAGGCUCUUCCGGGUUGCCGCUCCCAAGUAGCGUCGGACACGGGGAAUCCGGCGCGAAUCUGGGGGGACCACCCUCCAAGGCUAAAUACUCCCGGCUGACCGAUAGUGGACCAGUACCGUGAGGGAAAGGUGAAAAGAACCCCGGGAGGGGAGUGAAAUAGAACGUGAAACCGUCCGCUCACAGUGCAGUGGUAGCCGGGAACUGCCCCCGCAAGGGGGUGGAACCCGGUGGCCGCGUGCCUUUUGCAGUAUGAGCCGGCGAGUCGUGCUCGGUGGCGAGGCUAAGCGGUUCUUCCGCGGAGCCGUAGGGAAACCGAGUCCGAAUAGGGCGACUAGUCACCGGGCGCGGACCCGAAGCCAGGCGAUCUACCCAUGGGCAGGGUGAAGUGCGCGUAACAGCGCACGGAGGCCCGAACCGGUUGGUCGUGCAAAGCCAUCGGAUGACCUGUGGGUAGGGGUGAAAGGCCAAUCGCGCCUGGGAAUAUCUGGCUCUCCCCGAAAUGGCUUUCGGGUCAGCCUCACGUGCAGGCGGCCGGGGGUAGAGCACUGGCUGGGGAAGGGGGGCAACUCCCGACCCCAAUCAAACUCCGAAUACCGGCCGUCGGUCCGUGGGAGUGAGUCCAUGGGGGAUAACCUCCGUGGACAAGAGGGAAACAACCCAGACCACCAGCUAAGGCCCCAAAAUCCGGGCUAAGUGGGGAAGGCGGUGCAGCCGCCCAGACAGCGGGGAGGUUGGCUUAGAAGCAGCCAUCCUUUAAAGAGUGCGUAACAGCUCACCCGUCAAGCGGCUGCGCGCCGAAAAUGUACCGGGGCUAAGCCCGGUGCCGAAGCUGUGGGCGGGACCACAAGGUCCCGCGGUAGGGGAGCAUUCCGCAGUAGGGUGAAGCCGGGUCGUGAGGCCCGGUGGACGAGGCGGAAGAGAGAAUGCCGGCAUGAGUAGCGAGAGGCGGGUGAGAAUCCCGCCCACCGAAUGCCCAAGGUUUCCUGGGGAAGGCUGAUCCGCCCAGGGUUAGGCGGGACCUAAGCCGAAGCCGAAAGGCGUAGGUGAUGGGCAGCCGGUCAACAUUCCGGCCCCUCCGGGCCCGCGUUAUGAGCGAAGGGGGGACGCCGUUGGACCCUCCCCGCGGGCUUACGGCUAUGCCCGUCUAAGCGUCAAGCCAGAGGGGAUAGGUAAAUCCGUCUCCUCGAAACCGCUCUGUCCCGUCCGCUGAGGACGGGGCGGGGCGAAAAGGCGAGGCGCGAUGGCGAGCCCCGUAAGGGGUGAAGGGGGAACGGUUCAGCGGCCGAGAAAAGCCUCUAGCCAGCUGGCCCGGAGCCCGUACCGCAAACCGACACUGGUGGGCAGGGGGAGUACCCCAAGGUGGGCGAGCUAACCCCGGUCAAGGAACUCGGCAAAAUGGCCCCGUAACUUCGGGAGAAGGGGUGCCCUUGGGGUUGUCGGGGAUGACUCGAUGGCCCUGGGGGCCGCAGAGAAUCGGCUGGGGCGACUGUUUACCAAAAACACAGGUCCCUGCUAACCCGUAAGGGGAUGUAUAGGGGCUGAAACCUGGCCACUGCCGGUAGGUUAAGGGGAGGGGUGCAAGCCCCGAACUGAAGCCCCGGUGAAGGCCGGCCGUAACUAUAACGGUAGGAGCAGGGACGCAGGUCCCUGCGAGGGCCGUUGUAAAAUCCGGCUAUAUGCUGGGACAGCCCGGGUAUCCCAGCCUACCGAGGAGGUGACAAAGGCUUGGGUGGGGCCAAUCAGCAGGAAAGGCUCUCCAAAGCCGAGGCCGCUCGGUGGUUCUUGGCCGGAUUCAUCGAGGGCGAGGGAAGCUUCACCGUAUCCAUCAAGGAACAUCCCACGGCAAAGUUCGGCGUCUACGUGGAUCCCGAAUUCUACAUCUACCAGCACAAAAGCGGGCGGAAGCUCCUGGAGAUGGCGCGGGAAAUUUUCGGCACGGGGAGGAUUUACCCCAAGCCGGGAAAUCCCGAGGUUUUGGUUUUCGCCAUCACCAGUCGCCGAAGCCUGCGGGAAAAGGUGCUGCCCUUCAUCGAAAAAUACAUGGUGUAUUCCGCAAAGAAAGAACACCUCGCGAUCUUCAAGGAGAUCGUUCUCGCCCUCGAGGCUAAGGAGCACCAUUCCCCUGAGGGCCUGGCGCGCAUCGUCGAGAAGGCGUAUGCGCUGAAUCCGGCCGGGAAGGGGAAGGAGAGGAAACGUCCUCUCCCCGAGGUUUUGGAGAGAAUCCUCAGAGGCCAUACGCCGGACUCCGGGGAAGACCCGGAGAAGAGAUGGUCCAGGCCUCGUGGCGACACGAGGGAACCUGCCUAAGGUAGCGCAAUUCCUUGUCGGGUAAGUUCCGACGCGCAUGAAAGGAACAACGACUCCAGCGCUGUCUUGACCGGGGGCUCGGUGAACUCGAAGCACGGGUGAAGAUGCCCGUGACCCGCGGUGGGACAGAAAGACCCCGUGGAGCUUUACUGCAGCUUGGCGUUGGGUCCUGACAUCCACUGUAGAGGAUAGGUGGGAGGCUGAGAAGCCCGGGCGCCAGCCUGGGUGGAGCCGCCGGUGGAAUACCACCCUGUGGCUGUUGGGGCCCUAACCAGGGGCCGUGACGAGCGGUUCCGGGACAGCGCUAGGCGGGCAGUUUUGCUGGGGCGGCAGCCUCCUAAAGGGUAACGGAGGCGCCCAAAGGUCCCCUCAGGCGGGUUAGCGAUCCGCCGUUGAGUGCAAGGGCAGAAGGGGGCCUGACUGCGAGGGGGACACCCCGAGCAGAGGCGAAAGCCGGGCCUAGUGACCCACCGGUUCCUUGUGGGAGGGCCGGUGAUCAACGGAUAAAAGCUACCCCGGGGAUAACAGGCUAGUCUCCCCCGAGAGUUCACAUCGACGGGGAGGAUCGGCACCUCGAUGUCGGCUCACCCCAUCCUGGGGCUGCAUCAGGUCCCAAGGGUCGGUCUGUUCGCCCGUUAAAGGGGUUCAUGAGCUGGGUUCAAACCGUCGUGAGACAGGUUGGUCCCUAUCUACCGCGGGCGCAGGAGGCUUGAGGGGGUCCGUCCCUAGUACGAGAGGACCGGGACGGCCGAGCCGCUGGCGUACCAGCUGUUCCGCCCGGAGCACCGCUGGGUAGCUAAAGCUCGGACCGGAUAAGAGCUGAAGGCAUCUAAGCUCGAAGCCGACCCCAAGAUGAGGCCUCCCCAUCAGGGCCCGGGGAGACCACCCGGUGGAUAGGCCGCAGGUGGAAGCCCGGCAACGGGUGGAGCCGAGCGGUACUAAUCGCCCGAAUGGCUUGC